rnacentral:rRNA from 1 species
AGCGAACGCUGGCGGCAGGCCUAACACAUGCAAGUCGAACGGACCCUUCGGGGUUAGUGGCGGACGGGUGAGUAACACGUGGGAACGUGCCUUUAGGUUCGGAAUAGCUCCUGGAAACGGGUGGUAAUGCCGAAUGUGCCCUUCGGGGGCAAGAUUUAUCGCCUUUAGAGCGGCCCGCGUCUGAUUAGCUAGUUGGUGAGGUAAUGGCUCACCAAGGCGACGAUCAGUAGCUGGUCUGAGAGGAUGACCAGCCACAUUGGGACUGAGACACGGCCCAAACUCCUACGGGAGGCAGCAGUGGGGAAUCUUGCGCAAUGGGCGAAAGCCUGACGCAGCCGUGCCGCGUGGAUGAUGAAGGUCUUAGGAUUGUAAAAUCCUUUCACCGGUGAAGAUAAUGACUGUAGCCGGAGAAGUAGCCCCGGCUAACUUCGUGCCAGCAGCCGCGGUAAUAC